AAUUUUGAAGCAGACUGCUGUGCCUGGGUUAAAUGGGGGUAGAAAAAGACUUUAGCAGGUUGUGGGCCAUAAUAAUUUUCAGCAAAUCAGCCUGUUCUAAGUUUAGUUUUCACUGAAUGUAAAUUUGAAACUGCAACUUUCAUUUCCUAGAGCUGCUGUGGUCCAGAAGAUACUUUGGGUAAAUCUGGUUGAACCAUUCUCUGUCCUCUCUGAAAACUCUACAGCUCAAGAGGGAGGGCAAGCUGCAUCAUGCCAGAGGGACACGAAGUUAGAAGUUGCAGGAUUCUGUAUCCUUGGGACCUUGGGUUGGAAAGAAAAGAAAAAUGAUUCCCUUAUUUGAGUGAGCAAAACAAAGGGUGAAGCAUUAAACACUGAAGGAUUAGGAUGUUGUCUUCAAAUACAUCAAGGCACACAGAGGGAAUAAUGAUCCAUGGGAAACAGCCUGUAAAAGACAGAAAACAUGACUAGCAGAAAGACUCCCAAAAAGGUAUAGACUGACUAUUAAUUGACUUAGUCUGGAAAGAAGUUUACAAUGGGAGGUUGAAGAAUUUUCUGGAACAGUCUUUCAAAAUGAAUUAAUGCAAGUUAAUAACGCUUGCUUACUUUAUUUAGGAUGGGAAAAGCAUUUAUGAUGGUGAUACAGCAUGAGCAAUAUAAACCACAUUUUCAAGAGAGAAAACUUUGCAAGCAUUGAUUUCAGCAAAUAAACAGCCAACCCACACUCCUACCCUUCCAAAUGCCAUUUUCUAAAAUUCAGGAAGUAUGUGGACAUACUAGAGAGGGUCCAGAAAAAGCCAUAAAACCACUGGAAAUGUAACUCAUAGUGAAACAGUAUCAUAGCAGAGUUUUCAUAUUUUGAAGAAGUGAUUUUUGUCCAAAAUCUGCAAGUUUCUAGGUAGGAAAAAUAUACAGGCCUUUUAAAAUUCCUGUCACUGUCACUUUUUAAAUCAGUAUUGAGUAUGCACUAGUUCAUACAUGAAUCAAUGGAAUCAUGUGUGUAACUGAAUGUCACAAGGAAAUUGUCACUCAGGGACCUUCUGACAUCAGACUGUUAAUGUUUACCUCAGCCAAAAGCAGAAAAAAUUUAGCUAUUUCCAAAGAUUUGGACAAGAGUGAGACAACUGAAGUCAACAAUGUAGCUGUUUAAAAUAGUGAUCUCUUAAAGUAAGAUUAGUUGUGAAAAGAUGCACACAUUGCUAUUCCUCUUACACAACUAGUAAGCUGAAAAUUUGUUUUAAAAAUGUGUUUUAGUUUUAAACUAUCAGUUAUUUUGCUGCCAAAUAACUUGAGUGCCUUUUCUGAUACAGAACAAGGGUCAUUUUUCUGUUUUUCUGAGCACAUUUCCUACCUUUCAGUAAAAUAAAAACCUAGAAGCAUCCUUCCUUAGCAUAUUUUCUCAAAAAAAUAGCAAAACCCAAGGUCAACUGAAUGCAGAUUUACGCUCUGACUUACAAUGUAACAAUCUGGGCCUUACAUUCCAUUCAGUGAAGGGAAGUGCUGACACUUAGCAAGUCAUGCCAUAAAAAUCAAAAUAAUGAUAAAAAAUUAAUCCAGCUUCGCCUUUAAGUGGGUAAAAACCUUUUUGGUUCCAUUCCUCAUUCUGAAAUUUUGGCAGAAGGCUGAUGACUAUGAGAAACAUCCAUGCACAGACUUCCAACCUUGGCAGAAGCUUAGGAAACAGGGAGCACUGAGAUGCUCUGUAAAUUGCUAUGCAUCAUUAAUUCUUAGUGGAGACAACACAGGUGGAUAUUUGAAAGAUACAAGAUCAUAUUGGUCUCAUAUCUUACCAAAUGACAAAACCACAUUACAAUUCAGCAAAAGUCUUGGAGAAGUUCUUCUCAAAAAUUUCCUGCUUCCAAGUUUGCUCAUUUACAUGUAUCUUUUCUUUGUUCUAUGAAUUGUACCUGGGUGGCAGAAAGAAGUCUGGGAAACUUGUAAAGUUACUUCCAGUUAACCUGUGCAAGUAGAACAGAGGGUCUGAUAUCUUGUAGCAGAACACUGACAUAAAGACAUAUGGCCUCGAUACAGAUCAUCCUGGUGGGCUUGUGGUUGUAGAAAACACCUUUAGAAAAGCUUGUGUGUUGAUUUGAUUUGUUUUGUUUUAUAGUUCACUGUUAUUUUUGCCCUAUUUUAAUAACGAGUUGAAGAAGAAUCUCUGGCAGUUUUCAUCAGCCUUUCACAACUGCAUUCCUGACCUUUUCCAAUGAAUGAAUUUUUGUCUGGAGGUUUGCUGAACUCCACAUCCAUGCUCAGCCACAUCUGCAAGUACUGUAAGCAGACACCACUUCUGAAAAUAGGACCCACAAAAGGUGUUGCUAAGUGAGUGUAUGUAAAAACAUUCUUGUGCAGUUCAGUUUUAAGCCCUCUAUCUGGCAUGGAAAUCAGAGAAAGAAUAAAUCAUAAGUGUUCCUAUUAUUGUAAAUGGACUUUGGCAGUCAUUUACACCUACCUUCAAAGGGAAAAAAGUCUGGAGCAAAUUUAUUUUUUGCGUAUUAUAGCUGAUAGCAUUCAUAUUUAUCUGCCUAGACAAAAUGAACUUAAAAUGAUUUGCAGGUAUAGGGUUAAAAAUCUAUGUUUAGAAGGAUAAAAAAGUGGAUAAGAAUCCACAGAAUGCAGUAGGUAUUUGCUAUUGUAUUCUAUUUCCUGUUACUGCAGUCUAUAAAAGAAAAAGUCACUGAGUGAAUUAAAUUGUAUAAGGAAGGCAUCAAGUACCAAUAUUAAAAAUGGUUUUCCUUACAGUCUGUUUUUAUGCUGCGGUAAUGAUGAGCAAUAUCCUUCAGGUUUCAUUUGUUCAAAGUCCACAAGCUAAUGUGCAUAUUCAGAAAAAGGAAAACAUAUACAUCCAGGCAACAGACUACUAUGUGAAAGUAAUUUCACACUGAAUGACAACAUAUGAACCUUGUUUUUUCCACUGCUGAACUUCUGCCUUACCACUGCUUGAUUGGUCUUCCCAUUUUUGUCAGUAGCAGCACAAGAAUAUAAGGAAAAUAAAAUGAAAAGUUUGAUGUCAUUCUAAAAGCAGUGAGAAGCACUAGACAAUGCCUGCUGUAAACUCAAUAUUCAUCCUGGCACUGUGCAAAGAAACUGCAGAAUCAUUUCACUGAAAUUUUAAUGAACUCCAAUGAGAACACUGCUGUUUAAUGGACUUUGUGCAAUGGGUGGAAGCUCAUCCACUCACAAUCCAACUUUUCAUGGGGUUGGCUUGGUUUGCUAAUUUUCAUUACCACAUUGCAUCUGCCUCUUUUGAAUGCUGGUGUGGAUGCAGCUGGUCCAAACUUGUGCCUUUGUUCCAAGUCAGGAAGUAAAUGCAGUGAGCUCCAGAGGGACCUUGGUACUCCUCUGCAGUUGUGGUGAUGUAAUGGUGUGGGAAAACCUGCCGUAGAAUUAACUUCAGGUUCAGAAGUUCUUACUACAAGUGGUAGGAGUUAUAUCCUUCCUAUCACUCUUGCCACCCACAUAAACCCAUACAAUUUCUGUCUUCUGAAUACUUUCAAUGGAAACAAGGGGAGGAAAGUAAUGUUUUCCUUUAUAACUGAUCCACUUUUGGUUCUUGUUUGGUUCUCAGGCAAGUCCAGGCUACCUUUGUUUUGACUUGAGACUGCGGCCAACUUUCAGUGUCGGUGUCAUGUAAAGAUAAAUCUGCAUUUCUAGUGUGGGACUGGACCAAGAGCAGGGUUUAUAGGUAAUGUAGGUUUAUGUGAUAUGAGUUACUUGAUAACUCCUGCAAUCACCAAAAUGUGCAUGUUUAAUCCCUGGUUCUGAGUAUUUGUAUUUAAUUUCUUAAAGUCAGGGGCUGCUCUAAAAAGGAGGCAAUGAAGCUCUGAGAAAAAUUUGUGAGAGACGGUGGACAGUGGGCAUGUUGCUACCAUUAAUACAUGAUCUGAGUUAUAGAAAUUUAGUUCCACAGGACAUGAAAACAUGAAACAUUAGCACUUAAACAAAGGUGUACCUGAAGUAGAAAAGGGAUGCACAUCAAUCCCAAUGAAGAAAUGCAGUUUGCAAAGAGAGAGGAAGGAACUUAGAGGUAGGAAGAAGUUAGCAAUGCGUCUGUGUGAAACUCAGCAAACAAACUGAAAAGCUUAUAUAUUCUCCUAGAGGAUUACCUGAUAUAACUUAAAGCACAAAAUAAUUCAUUUCAAAAGGAGAUCAGUUGUUAGCUCAAGGCACUCUGCUGUUGACAGUUCUGAAAGAAGGUUUCUGUCUUGACACACUACUUUUUGAAGGCUCUGAUACAGCAAACUACUUAGGUGUUUUAUUUAGCAUCUGAAUGGAAAGGAUAUAAGAAUUACUUAAUAGUUGGCUUAAUCUGUGUUCAUCUGGAAAGGAAGGAGCUGAGAAGAAAGUUUUCUUCAAAUUUGUUGGAACAAUAAUGUAAAGCAUUCUGUGUAUAUGUAUUUUCUGGUUUCCCUGAAAAGUCCCACCUGUAGAGCAACAGAUAUUUAUUAUACAGAUACAUAUAAAUUACAUAUAUAUGUAUUUUUGUAUGUUUGUCAUCAUGUGCAUAUGUAAAGAAACUUGAUAAAUAGAGAGCUCAAGUCCCCCAGAAGCAGAUAUAAGCAUUUUACGAAGUGCUAGAAUGUUGAUAUGUUAGUGUCAGGAUUUCAAUAUCAGUUGUUCUCCCAAUGUGGAUUGCAUUCAUCUCCCUCAAAAAAAUCAGAGGGCCCUUUUCUAUUACUUUAGUCAUAGACACUGAGUUAAGAAAUUAAAUACUGAUACUCAGAGUAAGGGAUUAAACAUGCACAUUUUGAUGAUUGCAAGAAGUAGCUGGUAACUCACAUAAUACAAAUCUACAUUUCCUCAAACCCAUCUGUGCUGGUAGAUAGAUAGGGUGAGGCAGUAUGGAACAGAGAAUAUCUCAGUGAAGGGAGUUAUCAAGAAGUUCAAAUGUUUCCUGUGGCUUCUGUAAAUGCUCUUUCAACUGAGGUGACCUUCCUCUGGUACGUGUGUUCCAGUUGUAUCACAGAUGCCAUUGAAGAGGGUGGGAUAAAAUCUGGACUCUUGCCUUUUUCUUUUUUCCAUCUUUCUAAAAAUACCAUUCUAUUAAUAGCAUGGUGUUUUCCCAGACUGCCUAUCUGUUGAGAUGAAAAAGGGAACUCAUUAAGCUACUUUGGUGACAAAAUAGACAGUUCUGAUAAAUACAACAAAACUGACCAUUCUUUUGAUCUAAUCAGUAAAAUUAUUGCAUAAGUGCUUAGGACAUCAUGCCUUUGGCAUGCUUCCACAUCCCUUUUUUCAGUUGUUUGAUCCCCUGAUGCCAAAUGCUCUUGGCUGUCUGGCAUAUUAGACACCACAGCACGUGAUUUCACCAGUGAUUUUUUGCCCUAAGGCUCAUCAGCUGAGCCUGAAGGGCUGAGGUUGCUUUGACCUGCUCUUACCACAGCUGUAUGUGCCUGCUUGUUUUGUUCUGUCGCACUGGAGUGAUAUGUCCAGCCCUGGACUUUUCCUGAUGGAUUUUGGAAGGGAGUUCCUCUGUUCAACAUUUAAAAUGCUGCUUUAGACAGUGGAAAAGAAGUGGUUUUGCAACUACAUUGUAACUACAUUAGAUCUGUCAAAUGGAGGGGCUGAGGAGGAUUAGUGCAAAUGGAUGAAGUAUACGUGAAAAGAAACAAGAAGGAGAAAAAUGAUAAAAAAGUCAAGAAUAGAGGGAAAAGAACAACAAAACAAAAGUUCAAACGACAGUGGAAGGAAAGGUCAAAAUUCAGGUUUUCAUGAAAAAUAGUUUGAUGAAUGAAAAAUAUGAGGUAAGAGAGGAGGCUAGAUAAAAUGAGUGAUAGAUGAGGGAAACCAAGAGAGAAAGAACAGUUCUGGGGAAUACAUGAAAAUACACAAUGGUCACUUGUGAUAUUCACAUGCUUUUUCUUACUAAAAAAGAAUGGUAGAAGAGAUGGUUUCAAGCAUCAACAUACAAAGACCCAUAAGAUUAAUUUAUAUCCAACAUAAUGGUAACUGGUAUUUUGAACAUCCAAGUUAAAAUUUACUUUUUUGCUGUCCUGAGGCAGGAAUUCGCUUGGAGUUCUUUUACUCUCUGAACUGUGUGCCCAUAUCUGUAGCACCCAGCCAAUUCCACAUCCCAUCAAGACACUGGAAUAAGCUGGAAUGAAGUCAUAUUUGUGUGGGAAGAAGCACAGACCUGUAACGUGGUGUUGCACCCAAGGGAAGAUUCUCCACCCCUCAGCUGGGUCUUUCACCUCUGAGGGGCACCGAAGCACAGACACAGCGUUCGUGGGAAGCUUCUUCUGACAUCCUUGUGUCCUAGUGUGAGGUGUAAUUCCAGCUUUUGCUGAUGAAGCUGUUUCACUUCCCAGAAAUACUUUAGUGCUCACAAAGGUACAGAGUAUGUGACAACUAUUUAGAAGUUAUUACAUACCAAUAACAAUGACAAACACAACAGCUUUUACAGUGUAAAAUAAAAGUAUGUUUAUCCAAAUCAGUUUAUCAGAAUGGAAGCUCCAAAAAAAUCAACAAUUUCCACUUUUUGGAACCAUUUUGAGCAACUUUUACCUGACGUGACAAGGCUUUUUAACAUUUUCAUAAUUAAAUGAAAUUUUAUUUUAAGUUAAAAUAACAUAUGUUUUCCAAAUGUGUGACAAUAAAACCUGAUGUCUUAGCUACCCAUACUUGUUCCCCUGAGAAAAUAAAGUCUCAAAUACCCUAAAUUCCACACUUCGGAGCAAUUUAGAUCUCCUUAGAGAUCACAGUUUGAACUACAAAUGCAAUAAGGGCUGCAUCCUGCUGUAACUGAAAUCUUUCCUAAGUCUACUUCUGCUUUUCAAUCUCUCUAAUUUUUCAUUAGAUCAAGAGUCACACAUUUUUGUUGGCAGUAAAGCAAUUCCAAUUUGAACUGCCUUCUGUCUUCAAUAGGAAUUUUCCCAAAGUACAGAAAUAAAAAUGUAAAACUUU